AGUCUUCCACUAGCAGCCUUUGGAUGAAGACAUAGAACUCUCAGCUCCUCCUGUGCCAUGUCUGCCUGGAUACUGCCAUGCUCCCACCUUGAUGAUAAUGGACUAAACCUCUGAACCUUCUGUCCUUGGUACCUGCAUGUGAAGUGCACUUCCUACCUGCCUCACCACCAAUACUUCUGCACUUCUCAAUGCAGCAUCUGACCUAACACUGCUAACUGUGAGACAUGCAGAAAAACCAAGAGACUGCUGACCUAACUCUGCCUUGGUGCCACGUCAAGGCCAUCUUGCCUCAGCUUGCACCAGGCCUAUAUUCUUAGCACCCUAGGAAACAAUGGCAGGUUUCCUUCACAUGUUUCUAAAGGACACUAUGCCUCUAUUAUUGUGUGUAUCUUUGUGUUUAUGCUGUUAGGAAUGUGCUGACACAGUCUUGCUGUUGCUCACUGCUGACAGUUCUUGCACCCAGAAAUAGACUUUCAAACAGUAUCAUUCUAAGUCACAAGAAAGGAAUUACAUUGUAAUGUAUACAGUGGAAUAGAGUAGGAUUUUAAAACUAUACUUGAUGAAGUAUAAAAAUAUAGACAUUUUAAAAGAUAUAAACAUUUUAUAUGUUGGGAUUUCCAGUUUAAGUAAAAAGCUUACUAGGUAUAAUUAAGACUAAUCCUUCUGCUGGGCCACGUAGCACAUGCCUUUAAUCCCAGCACUCAGAAGGCAGAGGCAGAGGCAGGCAGAUCUCUGAAUUCAAGGCCAGCCUGGUCUACAGAGUGAGUUCCAGGAUAACCAGGGCUACACGGAGAAACCCUGUCCCAAACAAACAUAUAUUAAUAGUAAGAAAACUAAUCCUCGCUAUGGCAAUUUCUGAAAAGUCAAGUUACUUUAAAAGUCUUACUGGGCAUGCUGCUGCAGAAAACUGAGGCAGGAGGACUAUGAGCUGGAGGCCUGCCUAGCUGUGUAAAGAGCUUGGAGGCAGGCUGAAAGAACUAGGCAGGGAGACUCAAAGCAAGCACUUCUUGAUGGUAUUAAAGCAAAAUGGGAAGGAACGCAGCCGUGAAAAUGACUGGCUAAAACUCAACUGCCCUAUUCCUUCCCAAGUCUCUAACACUUCCUGGACUGAAUGUAAAGGAUACAGAGACUAAUGGAGCGCCACACUUUGGAAUACACUGGGAAAACUAAAAUAUUUUUAUUGACAGAAAUGUGGAGGUAAUAGGUAAAAAUUCUUGAAUUAUUAUGAAGCCUGUGAUAAUGAAAAGGAGUUGAAGUACACAUUUUAAGAACAUGCCAAGGGCCAGCAUGCGCAGCAUCAUUAAUAAGACACUCAAGGGAAGGGCUCCAUGGCCAGCUGUCAUCAGAACAUUUGUAUUUGAGACUGCAAAAGGAAGACUACUUGAGCCCAAAAGUUCAGGGACAGCUAGCUGGGCAGUAUAGCAAGAUGCCAGAUCAAAUAAAACCCUUUAAAAGAAACCUAUAAUACUAACAAAUUAAGCAGAUUACCAUAGCAACACAUUUCUUUCUUCUUUGGUAUUACCUUCUACUUGAAGGUAAUAGUCAAAUGGCACAACAUUAAACAAAUAUACACUCUUAGGCUUCAAGCAGGAUGGGAAUCAGUAAUUGGAUAAAAGCAGUCAGAUGCAUAAAACAACACGUGUACACACACACACAUACACACUGACAGGUUUCAAUUGGGGUGGGGUCAUGAUUUUUCUCUGAUGCUGUUGCCAUGUCCCACCCCCACCCCCCACCCCCACUUUGGUUCUAUGAAAUGGCUUCAUCAGCAUUUUGCAUCUACAUUCUUUACUCUUAUGUUGGGAGCUCAAUGGUUGUGCUUCCAAGACAGCACUAGGGGGACCAGGAAUGUUAAAUAAGUAGGGUUGUGUCUCCAAAGGAAAACCGAGAAGGCUGUGAAUGGAGGCGACUAACAGCCUAGGUAACCGUGUGGUGUGUGUAGGGCCCAGGCUGUACCUGGUUUCCUCAAGCUCCCACAACCAGGAACGGAGGUGGCCAGUAGCCAGGAUGACCUCUCCAUUAUCUGUAUGACAGAGACCACUCCAGACCCUCCCCUAGGCCCUUACGACGAAACAUGUAGUCUUCAUGGAAGAAGUGACAUGUACUUUGAGAAGAGUUUUGAUGUAACUAUGCCUCCUUGUUCACAUCAGACUGUGUUACACCAGGAAACUUUUCCCCAAAUUGUUCUGUACUUAAAUAUGCUUACAAUAAACUGCCAAGCCAGC
rnacentral:lncRNA from 1 species